AUCCGCGACCGAUAACGUCGGUGUGGGCUGGUCAGGCGUACUACAAGAGGCGAUUAAGGUGGUGUCCGUUGGUCAGGCAGGAGUCUGGACAGUAAAUAGUACGAACGUUGUCUUCUACAGAAUCGGCACCGGAAACGGAAUCGGAGGUGAAGGUACUGGCUGGGAACUGGUGGAUGGCUCACUGAAGCAGGUUUCCUCUGGUGAUGGUGUCGUGUGGGGCGUGGAUGAAAACAACAAUAUCUUCAAACGCACCGGUAUAAAUGAUACAAAUCCGACUGGAACAGAGUGGCAGCCUAUUUCCGGUACACUCAGCAAAGUGAGCGUGAGUUCAGCGUCGAACUUCGUGUGGGGACUGGACGGUGGCACUGUAUAUCAACGCAUGUUCUAACAUGUACAAAUACCUUCAAAUUUUAUUGUUCGUAGUCGUUGCCCUUCAAAUAUUCUUGGUACGUGCUUAGCACGUAUGAAUACAUUUAAAAUAGAAUAACAACUGUAGUUAUAGCUGUAUAUAUAGAAUGCUGGCUAUUGGUCAGAGAGCUAUAGUUUUGUCUGCAGCUUAAAAACAACUUAAAAAAAUAAUGUAUCUAUAUGUACGAAACACAGUCGAUAUUAGUGACACGAUAUAAAA